GAUGAAGAACGCAUCGAAAUGCGAUAAGUAGUGUGAAUUGCAGAAUUCAGUGAAUCAUCGAAUCUUUGAACGCACAUUGCGCCCUUCGGUAUUCCGUUGGGCAUGCCUGUUCGAGCGUCAUUUAAACCUUCAAGCUAUGCUUGGUGUUGGGUGUUUGUUCCGCCUCUGCGCGUGGACUCGCCUCAAAUUCAUUGGCAGCCGGUAUGUUGGCUUCGUGCGCAGCACAUUGCAAGCGACUUCAACAAACCUCCUUCCAUAAGCCUUUUUUUUACUUUGACCUCGGAUCAGGUAGGGAUACCCGCUGAACUUAAGCAUAUCAAUAAGCGGAGGA
rnacentral:misc_RNA from 1 species